CCUCUGAAAUGGGAUCCAGGCCCUUUUCAACUAAAAUGUCCAUUGUUUCCUGAAUAUCUUCACCUGCAUCUGUCACUUUAAUAUGCCCUGCCACACAGCAAGAUAGCCUGACAUUUCUAAUUGUAGCGCUUCGAAACUUCCAUUGCUUUUGGUUAAGCAAACUUUCAACAUGAGAAGGAUCAUUCCAGUCAGCCAUUAGUAUAUUCCGCUGUACAGUAACUACCAAUUCAUUAUAACUUCUUGCAUGCUCCUCAGUGAAAUUAAGA
rnacentral:misc_RNA from 1 species